rnacentral:rRNA from 1 species
CCUACGGGAGGCAGCAGUAGGGAAUCUUCCACAAUGGGCGCAAGCCUGAUGGCACAACACCGCGUGAGUGAAGAAGGUUUUCGGCUCGUAAAGCUCUGUUUUUGGAGAAGAACGUGCGUGAGAGUAACUGUUCACGCAGUGACGGUAUCCAACCCGAAAGUCAUGGCUAACUACGUGCCAGCAGCCGCGUUAAUACGUAGGUGGCAAGCAGUAUCCGGAUUUAUUGUGCGUAAAGCGCGCGCAGGCGGUUGCUUAGGUCUGAUGUGAAAGCCUUCGGCUUAACCGAAGAAGUGCAUCGGAAACCGGGCGACGUGCGUGCAGAAGAGGACAGUGGAACUCCAUGUGUAGCGGUGGAAUGCGUAGAUAUAUGGAAGAACACCAGUGGCGAAGGCGGCUGUCUGGUCUGCAACUGACGCUGAGGCUCGAAAGCAUGGGUAGCGAACAGGAUUAGACACCCUUGUAGUC